UACGAGGGGGGCAAGCGUUGUUCGGAAUUAUUGGGCGUAAAGAGCGUGUAGGCGGCCUGAAAGGUCAGCUGUGAAAACUCGAGGCUCAACCUCGAGACGUCGGUUGAAACCAUCUGGCUAGAGUCCGGAAGAGGAGUGUGGAAUUCCCGGUGUAGCGGUGAAAUGCGCAGAUAUCGGGAAGAACACCCGUGGCGAAGGCGGCACCCUGGGACGGUACUGACGCUGAGACGCGAAAGCGUGGGGAGCGAACAGG
rnacentral:rRNA from 1 species